CUGCGCCACAAGUGGCAAUCGUUAUUAUUGGGCCUAAAGCAUCCGUAGCCGGCGCUGUAAGUUUUCGGUUAAAUCUGUACGCUCAACGUACAGGCUGCCGGGAAUACUGCAGCGCUAGGGAGUGGGAGAGGUAGACGGUACUCGGUAGGAAGGGGUAAAAUCCUUUGAUCUAUUGAUGACCACCUGUGGCGAAGGCGGUCUACCAGAACACGUCCGACGGUGAGGGAUGAAAGCUGGGGGAGCAAACCGGAUUAGAUACCCGUGUAGUCC
rnacentral:rRNA from 1 species